rnacentral:lncRNA from 1 species
CAGAUAUGGGACACAUUGUCGAAUUAAUUUCACCGAUACAUGCCGAUUUGUUUUUUCAAGAGAAGCUGAUGCUCAACGGUGUCGAUAUUUCUUUAAAAUUCAUACAUGCAAAGGAUGAAUUCAUCCUUAUGACACCGGAUGCUGAACAAUACAUGGCCAAGAUAGUUUCAGCCAGUCUCUUUGUAAAGAAGGUAGUUGUAUCACCUUCAGUUAGGCUGGUGCACAGCAGGGCGCUACAACAUGCAAACGCUAAAUAUGCAAUUGAUAGAGUGUCUCUCAAGACAUUUUCAAUCCCCGCCGGAACCAGAGUAUGUAACCAGGAAAACCUGUGCCUGGGACAGAUCCCGAAAUUUGUCAUUAUCAGUUUUGUCGAUAACGAAGCAUAUACAGGAAGCUAUGUAAUCCAUUUACAGUUUUUCUCAGUUGCUUUGGUACAUUUCUCAGAUCAGAAUUGAAAUUCUCAAAACUACGUGUUCAAUCUUCACAUCACUGUGCCACUUGUGCACAUCAGAAAAGCAGUUUCUCAUUUCUUUGAACAACUUGCAAAUGCUUUGGUACAGCCAUGCAAAUGAUUAUGUACAAUUUUCUGCUGUUUUCUACAUUAUCAAUUGCUUAUGUCAUGUUGAUCAAAAUGUACUAUAAUGGGUCUCUGUUGAAUAGUCUCACCCCCCACAACAUUUAGGCAUUAGUUCAUCGCACAAGUCUUUACAUGCAAAAUGGUUGAACACGCUGUCAUAAUAUGUCAAGCAUAUUUCUAUACAUUUCCAUUAGACGUUUCUGAAUCUGUCCUGAAUUGGUAAAUUGCUCCCAGGUGAAUCUUGACUUUCUCUAACGGUGGGAAAUGUGUGAAGCAUUAGAUCAACCAAUGAUCAACCACUUUUCUGAAACAGCUCAAAGGUGCAUCUCAUGAACCAUCAACUGGCAAGUAUAUAUUGCCAGGGCACAACACAAUGUUACAAUGUCUGACAAUGGAAGGACAAGGAAAUGGACGGGGUCAACAGCCAGAGAGAAGAAGAGGAAGAGGAGUGAGGCUGCGUGGCGGAGGAGUUGGGAGGCAAAACAGAGGAAGAGGCAGAAGAGGCAGAGGACAAAUGCACGUUCCUGAUGAGAUAAGAGCUACACUUGUAGACCACGUUCUCAAUCAUGGGCUUACAAUGGCUGAGGCUGGCCGAAGGGUGCAGCCAAAUGUUGGGAGAACAACUGUGUCCUCAAUCAUUCAGACUUUUCGUUGACAGAACAGGUUUGUAAUCUAACAAUAGGCACUGUACUGUAAUACUGUAUACUUUCUGUAAUGCUUCAUACAAUAUUGCAGUAUUCGACUUUCAUUUUACAAUAUACAGUAAGUAUAGUAUAUACAGUGACAUUUUGGAUGAGUGACAUUUUGUGGAUAAGAAUUUGUUGCCCAACAGACAGGAACAUCAGGAGGUGUAGGAAGACUGUACUGUAAUUCCUACAGCACUGCAUUUCCAGUUUUCCCUAAGGAAAUUGUCCUAUGUUCACAUUUCUACUUUUGUUUUUUUGUUUUUUUUAUUGUGCUCUGCAGUGCUGUCUUUUUCUUUUCUGUAUCGCAAUGACAUGGUCUGUCAUCAAAUUACAGUCUCUUGCAAUCAAUGCAAUCAAUCUCCCACAUACACUGAGGUGUAACUUACAAUUUACAAUGAUUGUCAUCAAAACUUUAGCCAUAGUUUACAUCAGAACAUCCCUCCAGAGUACACUGUUAUAUUGACAACAUGACUAAGCAAUUUGACUGUCUUAUCCGUACACAAUGACACAAGGACUUGUCAUUCUGAUGGCACUGACAUGUUCAUUGACACAGAUAUUUACUUUUGAGAGAUGUACUAAGGAUUUUGAGCAAGAGACUGGCUUUUGCAGGUAAUCCAUGGUGUUUUGCUAUUUGUACAAAUUGUUUUGAGAAAAGAACUAACUGUUUUGCAAAUGUCGAGGAUGAUUCGAGAAAUGUACCAAAGCGACUGAGAAAAACUGUAAUAUUGAGCACUACGACACAGAAUACAUGUGUCUACAUGCUGAGGGGCAGUCUUUUCCAGCAAAGCCAUUUCAACACAUAUUUAAUAGGGAUCAAUACACAAGAGAGUAUUACCAGCUGAUUCAAACUACGGGUCGACACCAUAGACUGUAUAAAGGAUGGACAGAGUCUGCCUCCUCGCUGGGUGAAGCCACUCCGAGAACAGCACCCUCUGAUGGUGGGCUGCAGUACAGGUCAUAAAUCCCGCCUCCGCCAGCAAAGCUUGUGGGACUGUGGACAAACUUUAUAAAUUUAUUACACAAAACAUAAAUUUUUCUCCCCCCUGCUUGUGAUGUUGACAUGUAGUUAUUGUAAGACUGGUUUGUGCCCAAGUCCUUUUUUUUCUGUACAGCUCCGUUUUUAAAAGUUAUUAGGGGGUUCGUGUUUUCUAUGAUUGACACCUGGUACAGCCUAUGGGCGUUCAGGGAUUGCGUAGCUCUACCGGGGGGAUACGCUGUUUGAGCCGAGCGUCAUCACAGGGACUCUCGGCGACUGCGCGGCCGAAUGCGCUCAUCGCUACUGCACAGCUCUGGUUUCAAGGAAGUGGAGAAAAACCCGGAAUUACAGAGAGC